CUUAGCAUUCAAAACUUGCGAAUUUUGAAAAAAACAAAUUUGCUGAUUAAAUACGGACAACCGUUUAACUGAAUUAAAACGGGUGUUCCCUUUGCUUUGGAUGUCUGUCUAGUUCAGUUCAGCCACAUUCCGCUACAGUUCGCCUUUAUUAUCAGUUCGAAAUGGGGUGGUUCCAUAAUACCCGCAGUGUUCCAUAAUACCACCUUCUCCUCUAAUGAAUGAAUGAAUGAAUGGUUUCUCAUAUCUUUCAUUGACUGUACAGUACAUAUAAAAAGAUUUUUGUUUUUUAAACUAUAGAUAUACAUAGUCAUAUAACUCUGUUUUAUUAACAUAUUAUAAAAUUCUUUAUACUUUCUCAGUUUCCAGAGAGGAGGAACACCAUAUUUUCAUUUUCUUUUUGUAUUCAUUAUGAAGUAAUCCUAAUAACAAAGUUUUUUUUUUGCUAGUAGUAAACAUUGUAUUCAAACCAUUUUGAUUUUUACUUCCAUACAGUUCAAUAAUUCACACUUCUCUGUGAUGAGAUCUACAUAAAUAUGUGACAUGAUUAUCUCCAUGCACUUUCUCUCGUUGGUGUAGUCCUACUAUACUUAAUGAGAGUGACAAAUGUCAUCACCUCUUCUUGUCAUAUAUUCUUGCUCACUCGCUCUCUCGCAUGCAUGCACAUUGCUUGGCAAAUUCACUUGCUCAUGUCAGCAUAGUCACCUUUACUCCUUGUCAUUGUUGACUUUUCUGUUCAUCAAAUUGUGUUUGCUUAUGCCUCUCUGACCAGAAUGACUCCUCUCUAAUCUGUAGAAUUCAAAGCUCUCUACUCUUUAGAAUCAAAGCUGAUAGUUUGUCGGGAAGAAGUAGAGAGCUUUAACUUAUCUAUUAAACUCUGAGAACUGAACUUUGUGGACUUUUAUCAACUUGGCAAUAAACUGAGGAUCAUAAUUGUGUGAAGUAAACAGCCAUGAUAAGAAACAGAGCAAGCCCAAGUUUCACUUUCUCUGUGCCAAUAAAACAGAAAUUGAAUGAAGAAAUAAG